CGUACACUCCUGCGGGAGGCAGCAGUGGGGAAUAUUGCACAAUGGGCGCAAGCCUGAUGCAGCCAUGCCGCGUGUAUGAAGAAGGCCUUCGGGUUGUAAAGUACUUUCAGCGGGGAGGAAGGCAAUACGGUUAAUAACCGUGUUGAUUGACGUUACCCGCAGAAGAAGCACCGGCUAACUCCGUGCCAGCAGCCGCGGUAAUACGGAGGGUGCAAGCGUUAAUCGGAAUUACUGGGCGUAAAGCGCACGCAGGCGGUCUGUCAAGUCGGAUGUGAAAUCCCCGGGCUCAACCUGGGAACUGCAUUCGAAACUGGCAGGCUUGAGUCUUGUAGAGGGGGGUAGAAUUCCAGGUGUAGCAGUGAAAUGCGUAGAGAUCUGGAGGAAUACCGGUGGCGAAGGCGGCCCCCUGGACAAAGACUGACGCUCAGGUGCGAAAGCGUGGGGAGCAAACAGGAUUAGAUACCCCGGUAGUCCCA
rnacentral:rRNA from 1 species